UAAGCAUGGGAUGAUUAGGCAUUAAAAAUGUUAAUAAGUAUUGUUUGGUUGUUAUAAAAACAUUAGAUACUUGCAGCAUUCCCCAUAUCACUAUUGGCUCUCACAAGAUCCGGGAAUACAAAGUCUCGAAUUUUUCUGAAAGUAACUUCACUAAGAGUGCAAGAAAAGCAGAAUAUGAAGUGCUUUGUUGCGUUUCUGAUGACUCUGGCGGUGGUGAAUUCAUUUCCCUUGAAAAAUGAUGAAGACUCUUCGUUGAAAAGGAAGAUUUUGCGCCCAACUGCUUAUCGCAGAGUGUUAAUUGCGCCACGUCCGAAUGACCCCAACGUUUAAGGUGAUUGGCCAUGGACCAAUGGUGGUAAUACUAUCGGUGGUUCCCACAACAACGGUAACUCAGGUUGGGGCUAUCCUCAUAAUAAUGGUUAUUACGG